GCCUCCGCCUCCGCCUCCACCACUACCAAUUUUUUCAUUUCCCCUGUAUCUCUCAAUCUUCUUCUUCACCCUGUAUUUUAGUUGACGGUCGCAACCAUUUCUCUAUCUCUUUUGAUUAGAUCCAAGAAUUUGUGUUUCUUAACUAUGGUUUUUACUAGUUCAUCAUCAUAAAGAUGGAACAUGACAUAUUGACAAAUCAGAGGAUCUGCUUCUUCUCCUCAAAUCAUUGUGAGUUAUGCUUGAGUGGAGAUUCAACUUGAGGAAGUGCUGAUGGAUUUUACAUCAGUUUUAUCACCACCUACAAAGGCCCCUUUAUUGAGAAUAGAUGAUGCUGGGUACUUGUUUCAUGAAUAAUUAUCUCGACUCAGGUUAAAGUCUACAGAGGCAAAGGUCUGAAAUUUGGUACAGGAAAGAGCAACCAAAUCUUUGCUUAGAGUCAAUUAUCAAAACCAACGCAAGGGAUUUUCAUAAUGAGAUCUAUUUUUCUUGGUGUGUGAUUCAGAAAAAAAACUAACGUGUUCUUCAAAGUUGAAGUAGUUGUUAUUCUUCAGAUUAUAUCUGUAUUUCUUUUCUUUCUUUUUUCUUAAAAGAAGGGAGAUUGUAUUUCUUUAUUUGAGAAUUGAUGUGUAAUUUUUUUGAUCAGAAUAAUUGAGAUUGCAAUUCUUUAUUUAAGAAUUGAUGUUGUAAA